AAACGACUCUCGGCAACGGAUAUCCCGGCUCUCGCAUCGAUGAAGAACGUAGCGAAAUGCGAUACUUGGUGUGAAUUGCAGAAUCCCGUGAACCAUCAAGUUUUUGAACGCAAGUUGCGCCCGAUGCCAUUAGGCUGAGGGCACGUCUGCCUGGGUGUCACGU
rnacentral:rRNA from 1 species